UGGGGAAUAUUGCACAAUGGAGGGAACUCUGCUGCAGCGACGCCGCGUGAACGCAGAAGGCUUUCGAGUCGUAAAGUUCUUUUAUAUGGGAAGAUAAUGACGGUACCAUAAGAAAAAGCCCCGGCUAACUACGUGCCAGCAGCCGCGGUAAUACGUAGGGGGCUAGCGUUGUCCGGAAUCACUGGGCGUAAAGGGUUCGCAGGCGGAAAUGCAAGUCAGGUGUAAAAGGCAGUAGCUUAACUACUGUAAGCAUUUGAAACUGCAUAUCUUGAGAAGAGUAGAGGGAAGUAGAAUUUUUAGUGUAGCGGUGAAAUGAGUAGAUAUUAAAAAGAAUAACGGAGGAGAAGGCGACUGACAGGGAUCAUUCUGACGCUGAGGAACGAAAGCGUGGGUAGCAAACAGG
rnacentral:rRNA from 1 species